rnacentral:rRNA from 1 species
AUGACUAGCCUCAUCAGCAAAGUGUCGGGCGCCGUGGCCGCCAGCGCGCGCAGCGUCUCGCGCGCCACACGCCGCCUCCUGCUGCGAGGACGGCGGUCCCGGCGGAGAAACGGGCACAAGAAGGAGCGAUAUGCUGCUGCUGCGGCAACGGACGCUGUGUGCGAGGACGACAGCGGAGCUCUGUGGCGCCGGGAGAUACUGAUGGGGCAGCGGUGCGAACCACUCAACUUCUCCGGUGCCAUCCACUACGACAGCCAGGGCCGGCCGAUCUGGCAGCCCCGCCGCAGGGCCAUGGCGGCCAAGAUGCUCUGCCGAUCUUCGGACGUCGUGGACGACGCAGUCGUCGCGUGUCCAACAAAGUGA